rnacentral:rRNA from 1 species
GUGCCAGCCGCCGCGGUAAUACCGGCAGCCCGAGUGAUGUCCCAUAUUAUUGGGCCUAAAGCGUCCGUAGCUGGCCGACCAAGUCUCCCGGGAAAUCCACCCGCCCAACGGGUGGGCGUCCGGUAGAAACUGGCCGGCUUGGAACCGGAAGGCUCAGAGAGUACGUCCGGGGUAGGAGUGAAAUCCCGUAAUCCCGCACGGACCACCGAUGGCGAAAGCACUUCGAGAAAACGGAUCCGACAGUGAGGGACGAAAGCUGGGAUCUCGAACCGGAUUAGAAACCCGGGUAGUCC